AAAAAUGAGAUUGAAGAAGGUGACGAUGGCGUUUGGAGCGUUGUUGGGGGCAAGGUUAGAGAAAACUCUCAUUCCCAAGACAAUUCCCAUAUGCGAAGUUUAAAAUCAUGAGCAAAGAGUUAAAAAAAUUAAAAAAUUAAAAAAAAAAGAAAAAGAUAAAGAAGAUAGCCAAAGAAUGAAAUUAGAUAAUUUUAAGAUUUGAACUGUAAAAACAUAUAAUUUUAUCAGCAACCAUUGUGUGAUUGCUACUUCUAAUCUAACCCGAAAUGGGAGACUGCACUUGGGUGCACUUAUUUCCAUGCUCGAUUUUUCUGAACUAACAGUUCUACUGAAUUACAUGCAUCUUGUCGCAGGAAUUUCUCCCUGGAUUUCGUUUUACUAGAUGCGCUUGGUCGUUCUGUACACAAGGAAAUUGAGCUUGUUGCUUCACUUGUAUACGCCGACAAUGGAGCGCCAGUGGAGAAGCCAAAGGAGGAAGCUGAAGCUCCUCUUCUGACAAGCUACGAUGGAGUUGAAUUGCCUUCAACCGACCGACCCAUCAAACUUCUUCAUGGCCGUGCAUCCUUCAAGCUAAAAAUAUCUCAGGGAUUGUUGUUCUUGGAAAGGCAUCACGUGCGAUGGUGUCACUGGUCACAUGACCAGUCUCGACCUCAGCGAGAUCAAUCUCCCCAGUCGGAUUGAUUUUGCAAGCUUCUUUCGUCUUCAGAGCCUGCAGAGGUUCAACCUCGCUUCCAAUCAAUUUGAUGGCUCUACAAUCU